GUGCAAUGCUGGCAACGCAUGGAAGGGGCAAAUCUCAAGCCAAACUGAAAGGAAAAGGCAAAAUACCUCCCCAAUGUGGUAUUAAGAAAGAUUCCAAGUAUUUUUUCUGUAAAAAGAAAGGACACAUGAAGAAGGAAUGCUCCAAAUUCCAGAAAUGGCUUGCAGACAAAGGGUUUGUAAAACCUAAGGAAGCCAGUGGGAAGUGAGCGAAGCAUCUUAUCAGGAAACAAGAUGGGCUCGCAUGUGGAAGCUGUAGGAACUUGCUAUUUAAUUUUAUCUAGUGGUUUUGUUUUAAAGUUGGAAAAGACCUUUUAUGUUCCAAGUUUUUCUAGAAACUUGAUUUCAGUUUCAAGACUA